rnacentral:lncRNA from 1 species
CGGAUGUUGCUCAAUGGACCCAGCAGAGCCCAGGUCGACCAACGCUCUCUGCAAUUUUUGCACGGCAUACGGUUCUUCGCUAUUGUGCACGUCGUGAUCGCACACACCUACCUGAUUACGUCGGAUAGUAUUUCAGGAAUGCUGAACAUGUUCAUUGCCACAUCAGAGUGGCGAAUGGUGGUUGUUUCCGCAGCAUUCAAUAGCAUUGACACAUUCUUCUUUCUGAGCGGAUUUCUUCUAUGUUACACUCUACGCAAG